rnacentral:lncRNA from 1 species
CCCUCAUUUGUUGAUAUUUUUGAAGGGGAUGAGAACCCCCCAUCAGUCUUAUUUUCCCUUCUUUUCUAGCCACCACCAACAACCAUUGCUACCAUUUUUCUCUCCUUCAUUUCCUCACUCAUUUCUCCAUUUUCUCUCCAAACCACACCUCACCUUAAGACUUUGUUAAAAUCGUCAUGGAAACAACCUCCUAAGCCCAAUUCCUCCCUCAAUUUCUUCAAAUUUCAAUUUAGGAUUCCAUAGGUUUUGGUGUGAGAAAAUGAAGCUAGAGAGAGGAAGCUUCACCAAGGUAAAAAUAGUGUUUUCCUAACUCUCCUAACAUGAUAUUUAAAUUUAAUGGUGAUGAGAAAACUUGGAAAUUUGUUGUUGAUAAUUUUUAUAUGUAUUUUUUUGAUGUAUGGAAAAAUGUUAAUGAUGAAAAUAGGGUUUCCAAGCUUGAUUGACGAUGAAUUAGAGCUUAUGAAGGCUCGGAUAAAUGUUGUAGAGCUUCCGUUAAGGUAAGUAUCCAUGGAUCCUCUUACUUUUUUUAUGUUAUUUAAGUUAUUAAUAUGAAAACAGUGCAAUAACCAUGAGAUUUAUUAUAUGAAUAUAUAUAUAUGAAAUGUGUUAUUAUUGUGCGAAUGUAUUUAAUAUGUCAGUUGAAUAACUUGGUUAUCAACAUUUUGUAAUAAAAUAAUUUUAGACAGUAAUAGUAGUUUGACUUUGAAAAUUCACCAAAAAAUUGUAGAAAUUGAAUUAGAAGUUGAGCCAUAUAUGUGGUUUGAAAUCUUAUUAAGUCUAGUUUUUAUUGGAACAAAUGAAAUUUGCAUCCGAAUUAUUGGAAUAAAUUAGCAAACCAAUUUAGCAGUUUCUUAACAAUGAGGAUUGAAAACCUGGAAGGCUAUGAUAUCCAUACUAGCUUAUCAAACUGGUUUGCCAAUUUGGAUGCAUUACAAGAUUAUGACCUAAGAAUUUAUACUAAUGCAACAACAAUCUCUAGGCAAUUUGAAAAAGUCUAAAUGCCAAAAUUUUCUCUGAAAUCGACCCUAAUCACACCCAAUGGGUUACCCUUACGACCUACUAUGCCUAAACUAUAUUCCAUGCAUUCUGAAAGCAUAACCAUUGAAACAAUUGGCUUUACCUAAUUGAUAGGAUAUACAUCCCACGACCCGGAUGUUAGACAAGACAUCAGAGUCCAAUACUUAGGCUUUAGUUAUUUUAUCAUUCACUGACAGAAAUUCACAUAUUACAUGUGGAGCAACGCACAAGAUGGUUGUGUUACAGAUGCAUUUUUCGGACAAACUUAUGCGAGUUGUAGGGUGCGCAAAAGUGGAACGACAAUAGAUGAUGUUUAAGGAAAUUGGUAUUUUUAUGUUAUUAGGAAUCAAUUUUAUUAUAAUAUUAGGAAAGUAUAAAUAUUUUAAUUAUGAGUAUUUCUUAUUUUCUUAGAAGUCUUUCCUUAGUAUAAUUACUUUCUUAGCAAGCCUUUUAAUUUCAAUUAAACUUUGUAAUCUCUAUUUAAGAGAGAUUUGGGGAAGUGAAUAAUACAUAAGAGAUUAAAACAAUUUUUAUGAAAUUUAAGAUUCUCUCAAACGAGUUUUAAGGUCUAGAAUUUCCUUCGACGAGUUCCACUUGUUUAACAUAGGUCAUUCACGAGGAAAAGGUGAAAGAGCCCUAACAAGAUAGACGGAUUGCAUGUGAAUCGUUCGGUGACAAGAUCCAUCAGUUAGGGCAGUAAAAACUUGAUUUCAGAGUUAGAAACAAUAGCAGUUAUUAUAAGAGAGGAGUUAGAAUCAUUUAAAGCAAGAAUAGAGUUGAAGAUCGGUCAGUUCAUGUUGCAGAUAAGGGAAUUAAUUGUUUCCAAUCGAAACUUUGAUAGGGAAAAGGGGUUGACAGUAGUAACAACAAUGCUGACAAAAACGGAAGUCGACUAGAGAAAUAGGAAAAUCGAUUAGAGACAGCGAAUGGAUACGAUGUGAUUCCCCAAUACACAAAGUUAGAUUUUCCAACUUUCGAUGGGACAGAAGACCCUCUAAUUUGGUUGUACCAAUGCGAGAACUUCUUUGCGAACUAGAGGACAGUUGAAAUAGACAAAGUCUAGCUUCUUUUCACUUGAUAGGAAGGGCACAGUCGUGGUAUUAUCAAAUAGAGCAAGAAUAAACUAAUCUUUCACGGAGGCAUUCAAAUUAUAUUGUACUCUACGGUUUGGACCACCGCUGCACGAAAAUCUUUUGGAAAUUAGCAAAGUUGAAUCAAAUAGGAUUCGAUAGAAUAUUAUCUUUGCUAAUUUCAAGAACUGUGUGCCUAAGUAGAUUUCAUUAGACCAGACUAACAAAUUAAUUUGUUUAUUAUAAGGUUGUUAGAUUCAAACCAAAUAGAUGUAGAGAUGCAAAAACCUGAAAACUUAGUUCAAGCGACGAAUUUGGCAUGAACCUUUGAAAUAAAUAUCAACUAACUCGAGCAACAUGCCUACGAAGGACUUCUUGGCAAAAUUAGGGACCCAAUUCGAGAAUAGUAUCAACUACAACCACUAGAAAGGUUAACUCUGAAGGGCAGCGUCGCACUAGCAAAGGGGCCCGGUGACAGUAAAGCAAACCCACCAAUUUCCAAAAGAUUGAAUCGCACAGAGAUGGUUGAAAUGUCAAAAAGUCAUUGUUAUAAUUGUGAUGAACCAUAUGGGAUGGGACAUCGUUGUAAAAGGCUAUUUGGUUAGAAGUAGAAGAUGAAGGCGACCCCAAUCUGAAUUCAGAAUAAGACAAGAAACCAAAAAUCUCGCUGCAUGCGAUCACUGAAACACAAGAUCCUCAGACUAUGCAAUUACAAGCCAUAUUAAAAUAUCAUCUCAUUUUGGGAUUAGUUGAUUCCGGGAGUACUUAUAACUUUACUAGUGUCAUUGUGGCCAAAUGCUUGGGGCUGCCAAUCCAAGCUCAAUCAGGGUUAAGUAGCAAUGGCCAAUGGAGAAAAGGUCAUCAGUUCAAGAAUUUUCCUAGAGGUAACAUUUAUAGUUGACAAUAAUUCUUUUGAGACUAAUGUUUUUUUUAUUCCUUUGGAUGGUUUCGAUGUUGUACUAGGAAUAAAGUGGUUGCAGACUUUGGGGCCAGUAGUGUGGGAUUUUGUGGCUUUCACUAUGAAAUUCUCAUUGGGGGAGAAAUAGUCACACUACAUGUAACGACCUGAUUUUUGUUGGUAACGAAAAAACCCGAUUCAAGGUUGAAUUCCUUAAAUCAAGCUGUUAAAUAUUUCAAACUGAAAAACUAGCAAGUCAAAUGUGAGAUUAAUAAAUAGAACCAAAUAAUAAUUAAAUAAAUUAAGUUGUUUUAUCAAUAGUACAGGGACUUGAUUAAAAAACAAGGUUAAUGGGAGAACUUGAUUACAAGACAUUAAAGGGCUUUAAUACGUAAUUAUAAUAAGGAUUGGGGAGUACUUAAAACCAUUUUAAAUUUAUGUUAAUGUUAAUUAUUUAUCAUGUCAUCAUUUUCCACUAAAGUAACAACUAAACAUGCUUAAUUAUUUAUCUAAUGGGUUAAUUAAGUUAAUGAAGUGUUGAUUACUUAUAUAUAAUUAGCAGGAGAGAGUGUUAAAGGAACAUUCUAUCGUCUUCUCCAUCACAGUACAUGCAUGAGAACGAAAGAAAAUAGCUUUGAGUUUCUUCCAUUGCCGUCCUUCAAUUAAGAGAAUAAACCAAAGACGACGUUGGACGUCAAAAGUGAAAGGAAAGGAAAAUGUGAGUGUUGAAUAGAUAUUGUGGUUUGUGCUUCUAAAAUUCAUUUUCAAUAAUCCAUUUGUAGAUCAACUAGUUGUUAUAGACGAACAUGAAAUAAAUGUCGACGUAACCAGAUCUUUCCCCAAAAACUAUGAGAUGAUUUAUUGAUACUGUGAUUGACCAAUCAAUUUAUGAAUGGUUGAAUUGUGCUUUAUAAAUAUAUAUAUAAAUAAUGGAAUUUCAUACCAUGUUAGUAUGUGUUAUAUUGAUAAUAAUGAUGACCGUGCCUCGUUAAACAAUAUUAGACAUAGUUCGGGUAUAGUAGGCAUGCUAUAAGGUCACUGAUAUCAAUCAUGUAUUAGCUCCAAUUCCUAGAGGGUCAUGAGCAACCCCAAUUCCCAGAGGGUCAUGGACAUAUAUCAUCAUUCAGAUUGAGUAGUCCCAAUUCCCAAAGGAUCGUGGACUUACUCAUUAUUAUAUAGAUUCGAGUAUCCAUUCUAAUAUAUGUCGUCGAGUAAUAGAGGCCGAAAAUAGUAAGUAUUGAAAAUGGCAGUGAAUGACAUGUUGAAAUAUUGAAUAUAAUAUGAUAUGAUCUUAUGAAAUAUUGAAAUAAGUAUUAAAUGAGAAAAUUUGGGGAUUAUGUGAUUAAUGAUUUUGUGAUGAGUGAAAAAAGAGUAAAGUAAUGAAGUUAAUAUUAUAAUUGUGUAUUUGAUUCAAUUUAAUCUUAUUGUAUUGAAUUUGAAUUUUAUUAACAAUACUCAGUGUACAGUUAUGUUUGUUUCUGUGCGCAAGUCUCAAAUGAGAGUUGACAUAGAUUAAAAGUAGUCAAGCAUCCAACUAAACAGCUUUGCUUGAAAAUCAAACUGUCACCUAUUUUGUAUGUAUAUAUGUGUUUUGGUUAUAUGACAUGUACAUAGGUUGUUUCGGGAUUGUUGCUUAAGUUAAUAUUUUGGUAUAUUUAGUACUUGACCUAUAAAGUUAUAAAAUUGAAAUGUAUCUUUUGAUUAGUAGAUAGCUAUGCUAGUUUAUACAAG